rnacentral:rRNA from 1 species
UACGUAGGGUGCGAGCGUUAAUCGGAAUUAUUGGGCGUAAAGCGUGCGCAGGCGGCGCGUUAAGUCAGGCGUGAAAGCCCCGAGCUUAACUUGGGAAUUGCGCUUGUGACUGGCGUGCUGGAGUGUGGCAGAGGGAGGUGGAAUUCCACGUGUAGCAGUGAAAUGCGUAGAGAUGUGGAGGAACACCGAUGGCGAAGGCAGCCUCCUGGGCCAGCACUGACGCUCAUGCACGAAAGCGUGGGGAGCAAACAGG